CAGCAGCCGCGGGAAUACGAAGGGUGCAAGCGUUAAUCGGAAUUACUGGGCGUAAAGCGUGCGUAGGCGGUGAGUUAAGUCUGCUGUGAAAUCCCCGGGCUCAACCUGGGAAUGGCAGUGGAUACUGGCUCGCUAGAGUGUGUCAGAGGAUGGUGGAAUUCCCGGUGUAGCGGUGAAAUGCGUAGAGAUCGGAAGGAACAUCUGUGGCGAAGGCGACUAUCUGGGCCAACACUGACACUGAGGCACGAAAGCGUGGGGAGCAAACAGGAUUAGAUACCCCUGUAGUCCCUGUCUCUUAUAC
rnacentral:rRNA from 1 species